AACGAACGCUGGCGGCAGGCCUAACACAUGCGAGUCGAACGAAGUCUUCGGACUUAGUGGCGCACGGGUGAGUAACACGUGGGAAUAUACCUUACGCUGGGGGAUAACAUCGGGAAACUGAUGCUAAUACCGCAUACGCCCUUCGGGGGAAAGAUUUAUCGGCGAAAGAUUAGCCCGCGUCCGAUUAGCUAGUUGGUGAGGUAAUGGCUCACCAAGGCUCCGAUCGGUAGCUGGUCUGAGAGGAUGACCAGCCACACUGGGACUGAGACACGGCCCAGACUCCUACGGGAGGCAGCAGUGGGGAAUAUUGGACAAUGGGCGCAAGCCUGAUCCAGCCAUGCCGCGUGAGUGAUGAAGGCCUUAGGGUUGUAAAGCUCUUUCACCCACGACGAUGAUGACGGUAGUGGGAGAAGAAGCCCCGGCUAACUUCGUG
rnacentral:rRNA from 1 species